rnacentral:rRNA from 1 species
UGGCGAACGGGUGAGUAACGCGUGAGGAACCUGCCUCAAAGAGGGGGACAACAGUUGGAAACGACUGCUAAUACCGCAUAAGCCCACGGGUCGGCAUCGACCUGAGGGAAAAGGAGCAUCCGCUUUGAGAUGGCCUCGCGUCCGAUUAGCUAGUUGGUGAGGUAACGGCCCACCAAGGCGACGAUCGGUAGCCGGACUGAGAGGUUGAACGGCCACAUUGGGACUGAGACACGGCCCAG